UGACUGGAAAUAGCCUCCUGAGAGUGUUCUAAAGAUUGCCGACAGUGGACUGACUUGCUUUAAAGACUUUGGGCGGAGCUAAUAAACAGAACAAAUCUGGCAGAGAACAAGAUCUUUACUUUCACAGAGCGUCACUCCAUUACCACUGUCUGUACUGAGCAACUACAGUUUUGAGGUGAGACACAUAUUCACAUGUUUGUAAACAUAAACAGCAUCCCACUUCAGCCAAAAUGCCACCAACCACCAGUGCAACAGUGCCUAUGCCAGCGGUCAGAGACACACCAUCAACAACCGGUACAACAGUGGCCACGCCAGCAGUCAGACUGUGGGGUUUUCAUGUUGAUGAGGCUGGUUUAAAGCUGCAGGGAUACGUUUUUGCACUCCUGUCAUCUAUUUCUGCCUAGCUCCAGUGAUUGGCACAUCUGGGUGAUGUUGUCAGAUAUGUGUUAGCAUGUUGGACGUAUAUCCACUCACAUACUGUACAGCUGUCUUACAAUGCCGACACACCGUCCUCGUCCUAUCUACCACUCGCUCUCUACUGCUGCCGUAGUUCAAUGGGAACCCGAAACUUCCCACACUGCUGAUUUAUAACAAGUAGGCGGGUCUUCCAGCUCUUGCGUGUCAUCUGAACUCACCAUUCUUCUUCUGCUCUUUUUCCUGUUGUGGUGGUUAGCAAAAAGCGUUCAUUACUGCACGCGCCCCCUUCUGGAUUGGAGUGUGGAUCGCCUGUGACUGUCUCAGAUAUAUUCUUCAUCUGACUACAUGCACAGAACCGUGACGUCAGUACCAUGAUGGUUCGGGAUGAAUACAUCCGUUACACCCCUAAUAUAUAUAUAAUAAGAAGAAGACUGUGCACUAAAGGGAUUGGUUCAAGUGUUCACAGAAGAGCUCUCUUAAGAUGCUUUAUAAAGGAUUUUAGAGAACCAGCUGCUCGGGUGGAGUUUGGCAGGGCAUUCCACCAGCGAGGAACAGUUGAGGUGAAAGUCCUGGACAGUGAUUUUUUGCUUCUUUGCAGUGCAUUCAAUCUAUUAGCUUAUAAAUGUAUGUGUUUCAUGGGAAAAAGGCUGCACAAUUAAUCAAAAAAAUAUUCGAGAUUACAAUUACAGCUGCCACAAUUAACUAAUCGUGAUAAAUUUAAAUUAUAGCAGUCUAUGUAGUUCGACUCUUUUUUGACUUCAUUUUCUAUUUAAUGUGUGCUUAUCCAGUUGUUGAGCCUUGUAACUGAUUACAGACAUGAUUGUUGCUCACUUUUGUGUAAUUUUUAAAACAUUUGAAUAACAACUUUGUUUGCUUCUAAGAGGGCCAAUGUGAGGUUGACCAUUUACGAUUAAUUUACUGAUAAAACGGCAAUACAUUCAGAAACAGUUAUCGGCUUGUUUUGGAUGUGCAGCCUACAUAAAAAAUAUUGCAUGCAUUUGAUCCACAACAAAGUAAGUAUUUUAAUGUAACUUGUAUUAAUUUAAAUUAAUCACCAUUACAAUAUCAAAGGAAAUAAUCGACAAUUCUGAUUUUUGUCAUUAUCGUGCAGCCCUACAUGGGAACUCAAAACAUUGCCGUUACCAUCAUCCGUGCUCUAUCUCUACUGGAUGAAAUGCAGGAGCUCUGUAGCUCAACUAGUAGAGCAUGGAUCAUGCUUAACCUGGCAUGUACCAUACUGUAAACACAUAUUUGCAUAGUACUUUUUGUG